UAAAGUCGUAACAAGGUUUCCGUAGGUGAACCUGCGGAAGGAUCAUUACCGAGUGAGGGCCCUCUGGGUCCAACCUCCCACCCGUGUUUAUCGUACCUUGUUGCUUCGGCGGGCCCGCCUCACGGCCGCCGGGGGGCAUCCGCCCCCGGGCCCGCGCCCGCCGAAGACACACAAACGAACUCUUGUCUGAAGAUUGCAGUCUGAGUACUUGACUAAAUCAGUUAAAACUUUCAACAACGGAUCUCUUGGUUCCGGCAUCGAUGAAGAACGCAGCGAAAUGCGAUAAGUAAUGUGAAUUGCAGAAUUCAGUGAAUCAUCGAGUCUUUGAACGCACAUUGCGCCCCCUGGUAUUCCGGGGGGCAUGCCUGUCCGAGCGUCAUUGCUGCCCUCAAGCACGGCUUGUGUGUUGGGCUCUCGCCCCCCGCUUCCGGGGGGCGGGCCCGAAAGGCAGCGGCGGCACCGCGUCCGGUCCUCGAGCGUAUGGGGCUUCGUCACCCGCUCUGUAGGCCCGGCCGGCGCCCGCCGGCGAACACCAUCAAUCUUAACCAGGUUGACCUCGGAUCAGGUAGGGAUACCCGCUGAACUUAAGCAUAUCAAUAAGCGGAGGAAAAGAAACCAACAGGGAUUGCCCCAGUAACG
rnacentral:rRNA from 1 species